rnacentral:rRNA from 1 species
AGAGUUUGAUCCUGGCUCAGAUUGAACGCUGGCGGCAUGCUUUACACAUGCAAGUCGAACGGCAGCAUGCUCUUCGGAGUGAUGGCGAGUGGCGGACGGGUGAGUAAUGCAUCGGGACGUGUCUAGAAGAGGGGGAUAACUAUUCGAAAGAAUAGCUAAUACCGCAUACUGUCUGAGGAAGAAAGCUGGGGACCGCGAGGCCUGGCGCUUUUAGGGCGACCGAUGUCUGAUUAGCUAGUUGGUGAGGUAAAGGCUCACCAAGGCGACGAUCAGUAGCUGGUCUGAGAGGACGACCAGCCACACUGGGACUGAGAAACGGCCCAGACUCCUACGGGAGGCAGCAGUGGGGAAUUUUGGACAAUGGGGGCAACCCUGAUCCAGCAAUGCCGCGUGUCUGAAGAAGGCCUUCGGGUUGUAAAGGACUUUUGUUGGGGAGCAAGAUGGGCAUGUUAAGAGCUAGCCUAUUUGAGAGUACCCAAAGAAUAAGGACCGGCUAACUACGUGCCAGCAGCCGCGGUAAUACGUAGGGUCCAAGCGUUAAUCGGAAUUACUGGGCGUAAAGAGUGCGCAGGCGGCAUUAUAAGCUUGAUGUGAAAUCCCCGGGCUCAACCUGGGAACUGCAUUGAUGACUGUAAUGCUAGAGUGUAGCAGAGGGGGGUAGAAUUCCACGUGUAGCGGUGAAAUGCGUAGA